ACGAACCGUACAAACGUUAUUCGGAAUCACUGGGCUUAAAGGGUGCGUAGGCUGCGCGGUAAGUUGGGUGUGAAAGCCCUCGGCUCAACCGAGGAACUGCGCUCAAAACUACCGUGCUGGAGGGAGACAGAGGUGAGCGGAACUCAGGGUGGAGCGGUGAAAUGCGUUGAUAUCCUGAGGAACACCGGUGGCGAAGGCGGCUCACUGGGUCUCUUCUGACGCUGAGGCACGAAAGCCAAGGUAGCAAACGGG
rnacentral:rRNA from 1 species